rnacentral:rRNA from 1 species
UGGGGAAUAUUGGACAAUGGGGGCAACCCUGAUCCAGCAAUGCCGCGUGUGUGAAGAAGGUCUUCGGAUUGUAAAGCACUUUCGACGGGGACGAUGAUGACGGUACCCGUAGAAGAAGCCCCGGCUAACUUCGUGCCAGCAGCCGCGGUAAUACGAAGGGGGCUAGCGUUGCUCGGAAUGACUGGGCGUAAAGGGCGUGUAGGCGGUUUACACAGUCAGAUGUGAAAUCCCCCGGGCUUAACCUGGGAGCUGCAUUUGAUACGUGUAGACUAGAGUGUGAGAGAGGGUUGUGGAAUUCCCAGUGUAGAGGUGAAAUUCGUAG